GGGGUUGUAGCUCAGAGGUAGAGUGCUCACCUAGCAUGUGCGAGGCCCUGGGUUCGAUCCUCGGCACCACA
rnacentral:tRNA from 1 species